rnacentral:rRNA from 1 species
UCGAGAAUCUUCCGCAAUGGGCGAAAGCCUGACGGAGCGACACCGCGUGCAGGAUGAAGGCCUUAGGGUUGUAAACUGCUGUCACGCCAUAAGAAAGCCCUGCGCCCAAUAAGUGCAGGGUUGACUAAAGCGAAAGGAAGCACCGGCUAACUCCGUGCCAGCAGCCGCGGUAAGACGGAGGGUGCAAACGUUGUUCGGAAUCACUGGGCAUAAAGAGCACGUAGGCGGCCUGCUAAGUCGAAUGUGAAAUCCCUCGGCUCAACCGAGGAAUUGCAUUCGAUACUGGCAGGCUCGAGGAUGGUAGGGGUGAGUGGAACUCCAGGUGGAGCGGUGAAAUGCGUAGAUAUCUGGAGGAACACCGGUGGCGAAAGCGGCUCACUGGAUCAUCACUGACGCUGAGGUGCGAAAGCCAGGGGAGCGAACGGGAUUAGAUACCCCCGUAGUCC